rnacentral:rRNA from 1 species
AGGAUGAACGCUGGCGGCGUGCUUAACACAUGCAAGUCGAGCGAUGAAGUUUCCUUCGGGAAACGGAUUAGCGGCGGACGGGUGAGUAACACGUGGGUAACCUGCCUCAUAGAGUGGAAUAGCCUUCCGAAAGGAAGAUUAAUACCGCAUAACGUUGAAAGAUGGCAUCAUCAUUCAACCAAAGGAGCAAUCCGCUAUGAGAUGGACCCGCGGCGCAUUAGCUAGUUGGUGGGGUAACGGCCUACCAAGGCGACGAUGCGUAGCCGACCUGAGAGGGUGAUCGGCCACAUUGGGACUGAGACACGGCCCAGACUCCUACGGGAGGCAGCAGUGGGGAAUAUUGCACAAUGGGGGAAACCCUGAUGCAGCAACGCCGCGUGAGUGAUGAAGGUUUUCGGAUCGUAAAGCUCUGUCUUUGGGGAAGAUAAUGACGGUACCCAAGGAGGAAGCCACGGCUAACUACGUGCCAGCAGCCGCGGUAAUACGUAGGUGGCGAGCGUUAUCCG